AACCGGGUGAUCUAGCCAUGGGCAGGUUGAAGGUUGAGUAACAUCAACUGGAGGACCGAACCGACUAAUGUUGAAAAAUUAGCGGAUGACUUGUGGCUAGGGGUGAAAGGCCAAUCAAACUCGGAGAUAGCUGGUUCUCCCCGAAAGCUAUUUAGGUAGCGCCUCGGACGAAUACUACUGGGGGUAGAGCACUGUUAAGGCUAGGGGGUCAUCCCGACUUACCAACCCUUUGCAAACUCCGAAUACCAGUAAGUACUAUCCGGGAGACACACGGCGGGUGCUAACGUCCGUCGUGGAGAGGGAAACAACCCAGACCGCCAGCUAAGGUCCCAAAGUAUUGCUAAGUGGGAAACGAUGUGGGAAGGCUCAGACAGCUAGGAUGUUGGCUUAGAAGCAGCCAUCAUUUAAAGAAAGCGUAAUAGCUCACUAGUCGAGUCGGCCUGCGCGGAAGAUGUAACGGGGCUAAGCA
rnacentral:rRNA from 1 species